rfam:Paenibacillus sp. FSL A5-0031 NODE_7_length_356415_cov_1.3153_ID_5137, whole genome shotgun sequence.
AACUGAAAAAGGCAAACUUGUUGAAAAACAAGGACGCAAAGUUAUGGGCCUAAGGUGUACGCACUAUGGCUGCCAGACCGCCGGA